UAGGACUUGGUGUAGUGGAAACACAGAGAUUUUUGAACUCUCAGAGGAGGGUUCAAGUCCCUUUAUUCUAU
rnacentral:tRNA from 2 species